GGAGAUUCAUCGUCAGGGAUUUUGGUAUUAGAUGCAAGUUAUGAUGUGGUAAAUAAUCCUUGUGGUUAGUGUAUUGCACAUACUUGUAUUAUUUUGCUAUAAUCGUCGGCGUGCACUUCUCCCCUAGUAGAACGUCGCGACCCGUUAAAUGUCGAUUUAUGGCCCGGCUGGUAGACUUUGAUUUCUGCUUGCAGUUAUCGGAGGCCGCUGGUGUUCCUAAUCGGCUGUUUGACGGUACUCAUAUGGUAUUAAGUCGCAAUUAUUGCGUUAAGUCUGCCGCAAGUGAGGCUAAUAUUUGGUAGUAUGGAUCUGAUGCCAUCGCUGAAGUUAGCCAGCUGUUAGCAGGCAGUAUUCUUUAACUGGCUUAAUUACCGGUCAGCGAUGCUACUGCUUUGGGUACUUUCAGGACCCGUCUUGAAACACGGACCAAGGAGUCUAACAUGUACGCGAGUCAUUGGGAUAUUAUAUAAAACAAACCUAAAGGCAUAAUGAAAGUAAAGAUUGUUGUAUGACAAUUAAGGGAAGAUGAGUUACUAAUAAAAUGUAAUUUCGCAUUCCCGGGGCA
rnacentral:rRNA from 1 species